GAUUCUGAUCUCUCCCCGCUCUUGAAGCUCCUUCUGCCUCCACAGAGAUGAGAGUGAAAAGAGAAAGACAGGGGGCCAAAGAGAUGGCUCAGCAGUUAAGAGACUGGCAGCUCUUCCAGAAGAUGCUGGCUCCGGUCCUGGCAACCACGUGACACCUCACAACUGUCUGUAACUUCAGUUUCAGGAGAUCUGACCCUGCCCUGGUCUCUGAAGGCACCAGGCCCACGUGUGUCCAUCUCUUCCACCGCUGACCUUCCGUGCGCCUUUGCCCGUGCUCGUCCCCUGGCAGAUGGAAGCCUGUGUAAUGUGACAUCUAUCUGCCUGCAGUUCCAAACCCUGGGAUUCGCUCUGCAUCUGCCUUGGCCUAACGCCUGCUGACGGACUGGCGGGUCUACUGAGUGUCUGAGUGGCAAGGACUUGGCGAGUGCCCUCGAGGAUGCGUGGUGGGGGACGCCAAAGGUCUCCAAGGCGCUCCUCACCAGUUGUAGGUCGGCCACCGUCCGGUCUGGCACGAGACUGUACACUUGGCUCCUCAGCGCGAUGGGCG